CUCUCUUCUCUCCCUCACACACUGUCAAAAUCCAAUCAUUCUUGCAAAACCGAAUCAAUCAUCAAAAUGAAAGCAAAAGUGGGUAACUGUGUUCUAGAAGCCCGAUUCAAGAUCUCAAUAAUGGUGGCGCUGGUGUUAGUAACGGCUCAACAAGGAGGGAUUUAGUAGUAAUGGUAACGCUUCUUCUAUUUCCUCCAUUGAAGCUCCAAAGGGUUGUCUCAGUUGUAAGGAGACGCAUCAUGAUUUAAGUUAGGGUUUCGAAACACAUUGCGGGAUCAGGAUGAGAACCUCUUGCUAUAGAGGUUUAUGACCCUGAGGGAAGUCCUAUCUAUUCUGCUUCAGAGUGUCCGUUUCUCAGUGAACAUGUGAACUGCCAAAAAAAAUGGAAGACCAGAUUCUGAAUAUGAGAGAUUGAGAUGGGAAGCCAAGGGGUGUGAAAUUCCAAGUUUCCAAGGUUUAAUGGCGCUGACAUGCUGGGGAAACCUAGAGAGAAGAAGGUGAUAAUAGUUGGAGAUUCUCUUAACAGAAACCAAUGGGAAUCACUUGCUUGUCUUCUUUAUUUUGCCAUACCUUCCUCUCGAGCUGAUAUUGACUGUUUGAGUGGUGCUUACAAAGUCUUCAAGGCAAAGGAUUACAAUUGCUCUGUGGAGUUCUACUGGAGCCCAUUUCUGUUGGAACUCGAUGAAGGGAAGCAAGCAAAUGAAGUAGUAUUCUAAGGCUUGACAAGUUCGCACCAUGGCUGACUUUAUGGUUUUCAACACAGGCCACUGGUGGAGACACCCAAAAAGUAUAAUGAAAGUAACUUCAAUUAUACUAGAAUCAUCGUUUGCAACUGUAAAUUACGUCUAUGUACUUAUUUGGUAGUCGGAUUUAUUUCAAUAUGAUGGAAGAUUGGUGGAGCAAAUGGAUAUUGAAUCUGCAUUCAAAAUUGCAAUAGGGACAUGAGCAAAUUGGAUUGACCAGAACGUUGAUAUGACAAAGACAAGAGUCUUCUUCCGGAGCAUAUCGCGCAACCUACAAUUAGAGGGAUGGCGCAAACAACAAUUAGAGGGAUGUAGACACAGGUCCGGUACCCCCAACAUCACAAAGAUAUCAGAGGAUAGAAGAGACGCAUUAUCCAGCUAUCUAUGUUUUGACAGCUAUCACCUGAACAUCACAAAGCUAUCAGAGUAUAGAAGAGACGCAUCAUCCAGCUAUCUAUGUUUUGACAGCUAUCGGCAGAGAUCAGUUAGCAUUUAUCAGGAUUCUGUUAUUCAUUUUAUAAUAUUUUGUUCGAAGUAAUGGUGCAAGGGAUCGACACCGAAGCAGGAGCUAAGAGGUGCAACCUCGAUGUAAAUUGCUUUGCGGCGAUGAUGCUGAGAUUGAGUUUGUGUAUUAUGUUUGGACUUCAAACGCUGAUAUGCCUCUCUCACUCUGUAAUGGAUUUCUUUUAUCUAAGUUUAAAGGACAAAGAGCUGCUUCAAACGCUUCUGGCAGGUACAGAACUUUGAUUUUUUUUGUUUCUCAUAACGUUUUUGCUUUUGCUUUUGUUGCAGCCGUUACUGAUAUUGAUACCAGUGGCAUUCAUGCGUUGGAAAGUUAUACAAAAGCCUCCAGAAGAAUUGUAGUGCGGGUUAACUUCCUUUUCUUUUAUCUUCUCAAACUAAUAUUAGAUUUAUGGAGUUGUAGUGCGGGUUAACUUCUUCUUUUAAAAUCGAGCAAGAGUCAAGAGUUGUAGUGUGGGUUAACUUCUUUUUCUUUUAUUUUCUCCUAAUAAUAUUAUAUUUAUAGAGUUGUAGGUGCGUUUAUAUUUUCUUAAAUUCUCAAAAUUGUUAGGUGUGAUAUCUGAGAAACGUUAUCAUUGGGUUUAGAUCAUGCUUCACAAAUUGAUUACAUCAAUCACGUGAACCAAAUAAAGAUGCAGUGGAAUUUGAAGGUGGGUGUGGUGCAAUUGUUGCUGUGCGAUUGUGGCAGGUUCCACAACGCGAUAAUCGAAGCAGUGCUUUCUCACUCGAGAUGGCGCUACAGGAUGGAAAGGUGUGUAUUACUAUUUUCUUCCUAGAAUUUCAUCAAUUUGAUUUCUAAAAUUGCAUGAAUGCACUCAAAACACGAAUUAGUGUGUUUUUUAUUUACAUGUCCUUCUCUUGUUUUAAUAUUAUAUAUUGCAAGUCCAAGCAAACUCCAGUAUAACUCAAGCUUGAAAUCCCAAAGCCUCUUGGGUUUGUAUAAGUUUCUUAUACUUAUUACUAUGUUGGUUAUUUUCUUUUAGGUAUCCUAGAUAUUUGUAGGAAUUUGCAGAAAGAAGUUUCUGUAGGUAUUUAUUAUGAGUUUAAUGAGACAGAUUGUCCCUAAGACUGAUGCUAAAAAUUUAUGCUUUUCUUUUUGUGUUGAGGUGUCGUCUGGUCUGCUUUGUUGGUUUUGUGCUUCUACACUUGAGGUUUCAUUCUUGGCUGCUCUGCGAUAGGAUCUUCAGUUUUGAAUGUUUGGGGUCCCAGCUAACUACAUGUCUCUGCUUCUGUUUGAUUGAACUUUUCUUUCUUUCGGUGCUACAGGAUAUAAAGGCGUGUAUUACUAUUUUCUUUUUUUCUUUUUUUCGGUCAUUCGUAAAUGAGUUUGCUUUGUUUUAGCAAAAACCUGGUUUUUUAAAUUUUGUCAAGAAACAGGUUCUUUUUAUUAUUAUUUUGAGAUCCAGGUUUCUAAAUAUUUUUCUUUUUUGAAUUCUUUUUUGGUUCUUAGUUAUUUGGUCCCUUGAAGUUGUUUGUUACGUCUUUGAAUCAAACGAGAUGUGUACUUCUAAUUCUCUUUGAUCUUUGUUUUAGCACUUUCUUGUUAUUAAUUUUUUUUAAACUUUAUUUUUAUCUAAUUUUUGAAUCGCAAAUGCAAUCAUAUAUGUUCCUUA